rnacentral:rRNA from 1 species
GGUUAAGCGACUAAGCGUACACGGUGGAUGCCCUGGCAGUCAGAGGCGAUGAAGGACGUGCUAAUCUGCGAAAAGCGUCGGUAAGGUGAUAUGAACCGUUAUAACCGGCGAUGUCCGAAUGGGGAAACCCAGUGCAAUUCGUUGCACUAUCGUUAACUGAAUACAUAGGUUAACGAGGCGAACCGGGGGAACUGAAACAUCUAAGUACCCCGAGGAAAAGAAAUCAACCGAGAUUCCCCCAGUAGCGGCGAGCGAACGGGGAGCAGCCCAGAGUCUGAAUCAGCUUGUGUGUUAGUGGAACGGUCUGGAAAGUCCGACGGUACAGGGUGAUAGUCCCGUACACCAAAAUGCACAGGCUGUGAACUCGAAGAGUAGGGCGGGACACGUGGUAUCCUGUCUGAAUAUGGGGGGACCAUCCUCCAAGGCUAAAUACUCCUGACUGACCGAUAGUGAACCAGUACCGUGAGGGA